GACGAACGCUGGCGGCGUGCUUAACACAUGCAAGUCGAACGGAAAGGCCCUGCUUUUGUGGGGUGCUCGAGUGGCGAACGGGUGAGUAACACGUGAGUAACCUGCCCUUGACUUUGGGAUAACUUCAGGAAACUGGGGCUAAUACCGGAUAGGAGCUCCUGCUGCAUGAUGGGGGUUGGAAAGUUUCGGCGGUUGGGGAUGGACUCGCGGCUUAUCAGCUUGUUGGUGGGGUAGUGGCUUACCAAGGCUUUGACGGGUAGCCGGCCUGAGAGGGUGACCGGCCACAUUGGGACUGAGAUACGGCCCAGACUCCUACGGGAGGCAGCAGUGGGGAAUAUUGCACAAUGGGCGGAAGCCUGAUGCAGCAACGCCGCGUGCGGGAUGACGGCCUUCGGGUUGUAAACCGCUUUCGCCUGUGACGAAGCGUGAGUGACGGUAAUGGGGAAAGAAGCACCGGCUAACUACGU
rnacentral:rRNA from 1 species